rnacentral:lncRNA from 1 species
ACUCAGGAAUUCUCUGUGGUGACACUCCAAGAUUAAACAACAUUUCAGGAUGCAAAAUUGCUGGUGAUUCAACACAACCGGUUCAGGUUGUGGAGAAGGCAGAUGGAGAACUGUUUAUUAUGGGUGGAGGAUAGCUGACAGCCAAAAGCACUGAGAUUGGUGAGCUUUCAGAGUGAACCAUCAAAAAGCAAAGCACAGCUCAUUUCCUUCUGUUUUAACAAGCAAGUUAGAAGACUAUGUCUGUUUUGGUUUUUUUAUCUGCCUGCACAAAUAAAC